GACAAGCCAGGACAGACGGUGAACAGAUCGCCAGGUGGAAUCCAAGCAGCAGUGCAGUGGGAGUAGGUGUCACACCCACUUGGGACAAGCUUUAUUUCUGGAGGAGGCAUUUCCUUGCUGCUGCUAAAAGAUAAUCUAUCAAUUUAAGUGGAGAGGAUUGGAGUGUCUCCACAGGAACAAUACCUAGGAGGAAAUUACAUGGAUCUGGUUGAAUAAUGCCUGUGAUGUCCUGUAUAACAUGAUUCACCCUGCCAUGAGUUCCUAAGAUUAUUCAAAGAGGAUAUUUGCAUGGCCAUUGUGGAUUUUAGAAAAUAUUCAAAUAAAGGCUGUGUUUUGUGUAGGCUUACCCUGGCCUGGCGUUUUGAUAACCGUGUUAAUCUCUCCCAGACAAGGUGACUUUUAUUAAUCUAUUUGCCUGUAUUUACCCCCCAAAAAUGAAAUAUGAUAUUUAGCUGCUAUCAUAGAGAACUACAAAUGCCUGUCUCAAGCUUCACAUCACUCACCAAGGCCCAUGGUCAUCUGGAUGAGACUGCCAAAUCGAGGCUAAGGUAAAUUAUUGUCAUGUUCUAUUCCAGAACCAGUGGGUGUCCCUGAGGCUUACCACCUCUCAAUUAGAAACCACAAUGUUCACUUCUGUGUGUGUUAAUGUGGGGUGGCGAACUAGAGAAUGAAACUCUGGAAAUGGACACAUCUGCCUGGUUCUUGUCGGACCGCCAGACCAAUGUGGAGUCAGCAUUAAGGCACUAGUGGGUGAGGGCAUCUACAGCCAACCGCUCAGACGGCUCCAGCUAGCUGUUUUUACACGGUCUUUCAUUUCGCAGGAUUUAGCGACCAACAGUUUUUUUUUCAGGCUAUGGUUUGUAAUCAGGUAUGGGCUGGGCUGGAACAAAAGCUUAUACACAGUCCAGGCAAUCAGAUCUAGAGCAGUCCACCCAUGUGUAGACUAAUGUACUGGCCCGUGUGGUACAGUCUUUCAUAUGUGUAGUAGUUUGUUGCAUCAUAUUGCUUAGUUUUCAUUUGUUUCAACUUUGAAUUCAAUCUAAACCACAGAUUAACUUCCUCCAUUUUGUAUUUUACCUUUGUAUAGAUGCAGACCCAAAGACACUCAAGUCUCCAAUUGUCCCAGUAAUAGUUGAUGUACAGGCCUAAGUGACCAUACACAAUGGACCUACAGCUGGGGUGAGAUUAUUCCAUCAUUCACACACAGUAGACCUGGUGUAAACGUGGUCAACAAAAUGCUGUCCUCAACGCUUAAAUUGUAUUGUCUAUGGCAAAACAAAUUGGAAAUGCUGUGAUCACUAAGAAAUGACGUUGAGGGACACACGCUGAGACCCCGAGUAUGACUGGACAGAUUUGUGACAACGACCUAAAAGGGGUGCAGAAGCACACCAGCACCCCAUUUUAUGUUUAUUCCAUGGCCAACCAUCCCUCUAGCUACCCCUUAUUCCACAUCUAUGCCUUUUCUGCCUCAACUUCAGACACUUGGGAUCUCUCCAUCGUAUCUCUAUAAACCCACCCUACCUUCACCCAUUUUUUCUAUGCUGCUUCCUACACUGGUUCUUCUCCUGAUUUGAUAACGUCUAAACUCAGUAACAUGUUUAAAAGUGUACUGUUUUUGCUACCUUUUUUCACCUGUGUAAUGCUGUCCUCCUGCUUAUUGUAGGGGUUCAGACCGAAUGCAGUGGUAAAUGUGCUGCUCACAAUUGACAGCAGCAACAUGGACCUUUUACAUUGACAUGAUUGGUGUUUAUAUACAGUAGCUGCAUUUGGGCAUGGCUUCCUGUUUUGAGUCUGGUAAGUGGGUUUCUCAUCCUGCUGGAGUUGACCUAGUAAUUUAUAUAAAAGCGACCUUACGCAUCCAGUUUUUCCAUUUGUAACUCACCUACCAAAAUCACAAUGUGCUGUUUUACGUUGCGUUAUUUGUGCUGGUCUAACUACUCAAAUGGAAAAGAAGAAGAACCUUUGCACUCUCGGAUAGUUAUUUAAUGUCCCAGGUUUCCGGCAUUGAUGAAUAUAAUUUAGUGUUUACCUAAAUUCAAAUGUUUUAUAUGUUGUGUAUAAAAGGCAUAUGUAUGCAUUGUUUAAUAUACUGAACAAAAAUAUAAACGCAACGUAAAGUGUUGGUCCCAUGUUUCAUGAGCUGAAAUAAAAGAUCCU